rnacentral:tRNA from 2 species
GUCCUUGUAGCUUACAACUAAAGCAUGGCACUGAAGAUGCCAAGACGGCUGCCAUAUGCACCCAAGGACA